rnacentral:rRNA from 1 species
AGCGUUAUCCGGAUUUAUUGGGCGUAAAGGGAACGCAGGCGGUCUUUUAAGUCUGAUGUGAAAGCCUUUGGCUUAACCGGAGUAGUGCAUUGGAAACUGGGAGACUUGAGUGCAGAAGAGGAGGGUGGAACUCCAUGUGUAGCGGUGAAAUGCGUAGAUAUAUGGAAGAACACCAGUGGCGAAAGCGGCUCUCUGGUCUGUAACUGACGCUGAGGUUCGAAAGCGUGGGUAGCAAACAGGAUUAGAUACCCUGGUAAUCCACGCCGUAAACGAUGAAUGCUAAGUGUUGGAGGGUUUCCGCCCUUCAGUGCUGCAGCUAACGCAAUAAGCAUUCCGCCUGGGGAGUACGACCGCAAGGUUG